ACAACAUUUGGAUCGUCGGUCUACCGAGCAAUAUCACCCCCUCGGUGGAAGCUCUUCCCUCCGUCAU
rnacentral:pre_miRNA from 1 species